UACGUAGGGUGCAAGCGUUGUCCGGAAUCAUUGGGCGUAAAGCGCGCGUAGGCGGCCAGUUGCGUCUGCUGUGAAAUCCCGGGGCUCAACCCCGGGCGUGCAGUGGAUACGGGCUGGCUAGAGGCAGGCAGGGGAGAACGGAAUUCCCGGUGUAGCGGUGAAAUGCGCAGAUAUCGGGAGGAACACCGGUGGCGAAGGCGGUUCUCUGGGCCUGUACUGACGCUGAGGAGCGAAAGCGUGGGGAGCGAACAGG
rnacentral:rRNA from 1 species